CUUAGGCACAACAAAUAUAUUGUAACCAGGUCAGGUCCGGAAGGAAGCAGCCUUACUCAAUCCCUAUUUGUGUGUGCCUUUUUUA
rnacentral:SRP_RNA from 1 species